rnacentral:rRNA from 1 species
CACGCAUGACACACUGCAUAUCAAUAAGCGGAGGAAAAGAAACUAACAAGGAUUCCCCUAGUAACGGCGAGUGAAGCGGGAAGAGCUCAAAUUUGAAAUCUUCAAGGGUUUCCCUUGACGAAUUGUAGUUUAAAGAAGUGUUUUCUGUUAGAGAGGUGGUAAAAGUUCUUUGGAAUAGGACAUCAUAGAGGGUGAGAAUCCCGUAUUUGAUCACUUUCUACUUACGUUGUGAUACACUUUCAAAGAGUCGGAUUGUUUGGGAAUGCAGUCCAAAAUGGGUGGUAAAUUUCAUCUAAAGCUAAAUAUUGGCGAGAGACCGAUAGCGAACAAGUACCGUGAGGGAAAGAUGAAAAGAACUUUGAAAAGAGAGUUAAACAGUACGUGAAAUUGUCAAAAGGGAAGCGUUUGACACCAGUGUUGUUUAGUUGAAAAUCAAUUCAAUAAUUUUUGAUUUUAAGUAGUAUUGACUUCAUCAGCUUGCUGCUUUCUUUUCGAAAAUUAUUGAAUGCACUUUUCAGUUAACAAGUCAACAUCAAUUUCUUUUGUUGUAAAAGGGUAAGAGGAAGGUGGCUUACGCUUCGGCGUAAGUGUUUAUAGCCUUUUACCUCUGCAAUCGGAGAGAUUGAGGUCAGCAGCGUAGACUCCUUCGGGGGUUAGAUACACUUGUGCUAAGCUAUAGCCUUGUAUAGACAACUUGUUGACUAUGCUCAGUCAUGUAGCUUACUCGCAUGUGCUAUUUUACCUACGCUUAGGAUGUUGAACUACUGAGACAUAGA